rnacentral:tRNA from 1 species
GGAGGGAUGGCCGAGCGGUCGAAGGCGCUGGUCUUGAAAACCAGUGGGCCCCUUGCGGGUCUCGUGGGUUCGAAUCCCACUCCCUCCG